rnacentral:rRNA from 1 species
GAUGAACGCUAGCUACAGGCUUAACACAUGCAAGUCGAGGGGAAACGACAUCGAAAGCUUGCUUUUGAUGGGCGUCGACCGGCGCACGGGUGAGUAACGCGUAUCCAACCUGCCCACCACUUGGGGAUAACCUUGCGAAAGUAAGACUAAUACCCAAUGACGUCUCUAGAAGACAUCUGAAAGAGAUUAAAGAUUUAUCGGUGAUGGAUGGGGAUGCGUCUGAUUAGCUUGUUGGCGGGGUAACGGCCCACCAAGGCGACGAUCAGUAGGGGUUCUGAGAGGAAGGUCCCCCACAUUGGAACUGAGACACGGUCCAAACUCCUACGGGAGGCAGCAGUGAGGAAUAUUGGUCAAUGGGCGAGAGCCUGAACCAGCCAAGUAGCGUGCAGGAUGACGGCCCUAUGGGUUGUAAACUGCUUUUAUAAGGGAAUAAAGUGAGUCUCGUGAGACUUUUUGCAUGUACCUUAUGAAUAAGCACCGGCUAACUCUGUGCCAGCAGCCGCCGUAA